rnacentral:misc_RNA from 1 species
GAUGAAGAACUAGCAAAAUGCGAUAAGUAAUGUGAAUUGCAGAAUUCAGUGAAUCAUCGAAUCUUUGAACGCACAUUGCGCCCGCCAGUAUUCUGGCGGGCAUGCCUGUUCGAGCGUCAUUUCAACCCUCAAGCACAGCUUGGUGUUGGGACUCGCGUUAAUUCGCGUUCCUCAAAUUGAUUGGCGGUCACGUCGAGCUUCCAUAGCGUAGUAGUAAAACCCUCGUUACUGGUAAUCGUCGCGGCCACGCCGUUAAACCCCAACUUCUGAAUGUUGACCUCGGAUCAGGUAGGAAUACCCGCUGAACUUAAGCAUAUCAAUAAGCGGAGGA